UUAUGCCACCGUCGCUCCAUCCAACUACUGAGAACUUUGUGAACCCUAAAACCUUCAUUAGAUCGCGAGCAUCAAUGGCAUCGCGUUGCAAAAAAUCGUCCGGGAAGGUUCUGUCCGGUGGCCUUGAUUUCCCGUAGCCCACGGGCUCCCAUGCGACUAUGGUAAACUUCUCCCGGUCGAAACCCUCUAUCUGAGGCUUGAAGUGGGACCAUAUUGAACCUGCGGCACAACAUCGUCGUUCGUUCCAUAACUAAUAUCUAACUCGCCUAGAAAUAUUAGAUUAAAACAGAUUUAUCUAGAGCGUUAUCUGCCUAUGUGCUCAACAUAUAGCUAGGUUUGAUGUUUUGUCUCACCUGCUACACCGGGUAGAAGCAGGACAGCGUGGUCGCCAGUUCCAACCUUGAGAUAAUUGAUGUCGACUCCGUUCACGUUAACUUUUCGUUCCUAUUGGACAGAUAUAAAUCGACUUCAUCUCUGCUAGCCUUUCUAUUCGAUGUAUGCCAUGUACCUGAUCAUCUCGAUUUCCCGAAAUUUCUGACACGGAUGCUGCGAAAGAUUUAACAUGUCGUGCGAUCGAUAGUUUCUGCACGAAAUGUCGGCAAAAUGUCGCUGCCAUCACUAACAUGGCUAACGUGAGUCAGUCGUUUACUUCCCCCUCCUUCCCACCUUUUAUCCAAGCAAGCGCAUUAUCAGAUGCAUAAUGACCCUCGAUCAUUCGAACGACUUUGAACGUUCCAGAUAGCAGUAGAGAAAUUAAACCAUUCCAUAUGGUAACUUAUCACACAUCGUUGAGAAUUGCUAGGAGAAACAAGGUGUUCCAACAUUUCGGAGAAGUACCAUCCGCUAUGCAAUUAAUUAAUUUCCGGCGAUGAAGAUGCCUGGUAGCUCGAUAGGUUUUACAAUUUCGUGAAGUUAGUGAUCAAAUGGUGGUUAUUAAGCUUACUAAUUCGAUGAAAAUAUGUACUGAUUAAUCACGAUUGCGCGGUGAGUUGUCUUAUCGUUCGAGACGAACUGAAUUUGUGCGGAUUAUUAUAAUUGAAUAUAGGAGCAUGAAUGUUUAAAAUAUUUAUUUUCGAAUUAUACAAUAAUGAUAAAUGACGCAAUAUCGAAUAUAGCUAGUACGUAUGAAAUACUCUAAAAUGUAUAGAAAAGUCAAAAUAUAUUACUAAAAGUGAAUAAUAAAUAAACGUUUCUGAUACAAA